GAUCGACUCUAAGGAAAUCCUGAGUACAGUGGCGUACGGGUGAGUAACACGUGGGUAAUCUACCCUUUGGUGGGGAAUAACUCUGGGAAACCGGAGCUAAUACCGCAUAAUCCCGAGAGGGAAAAGCAGCAAUGCGCCGAAGGAGGAGCCCGCGGCCGAUUAGCUAGUUGGUGAGGUAACGGCCCACCAAGGCAAAGAUCGGUAGCCGGCCUGAGAGGGCACACGGCCACACUGGCACUGAAACACGGGCCAGACUCCUACGGGAGGCAGCAGUGGGGAAUCUUGCACAAUGGGGGAAACCCUGAUGCAGCGACGCCGCGUGAGCGAUGAAGCCCUUCGGGGUGUAAAGCUCUUUCGGCAGGGAAGAUUAUGACGGUACCUGCAGAAGCAGCUGCGGCUAACUACGUGCCAGCAGCCGCGGUAAUACGUAGGCAGCAAGCGUUGUUCGGAGUUACUGGGCGUAAAGGGUGUGUAGGCGGCUCCCUAAGUUUGGUGUGAAAUCUCCCGGCUCAACCGGGAGGGUGCGCCGAAUACUGAGGGGCUAGAGUGCGGGAGAGGAAAGUGGAAUUCCUGGUGUAGCGGUGAAAUGCGUAGAUAUCAGGAGGAACACCGGUGGUGUAGACGGCUUUCUGGACCGUAACUGACGCUGAGACACGAAAGCGUGGGUAGCAAACAGGAUUAGAUACCCUGGUAGUCCACGCCCUAAACGAUGCAUAUUUGGUGUGGGCCAUUCAUUUGGUCCGUGCCGGAGCUAACGCGUUAAAUAUGCCGCCUGGGGAGUACAGUCGCAAGGCUGAAACUCAAAGGAAUUGACGGGGGCCCGCACAAGCGGUGGAGCAUGUGGUUCAAUCCGACGCACCGCGAAGAACCUUACCUGGGGCUCGAACGGCUUGGUCAACGCCGG
rnacentral:rRNA from 1 species